GACGAACUGUGCAAACGUUAUUCGGAAUCACUGGGCUUAAAGGGUGCGUAGGCGGUCUGUCGCGUCGGCUGUGAAAACCUGGGGCUUAACUCCGGGCCUGCAGCCGAUACGGGCAGACUAGAGUUCGGCAGGGGAGACUGGAAUUCCUGGUGUAGCGGUGAAAUGCGCAGAUAUCAGGAGGAACACCGGUGGCGAAGGCGGGUCUCUGGGCCGUAACUGACGCUGAGGAGCGAAAGCGUGGGGAGCGAACAGG
rnacentral:rRNA from 1 species